GGCGGACGGGUGAGUAACGCGUGGGUAACCUGCCUUGUACAGGGGGAUAACAGUUAGAAAUGACUGCUAAUACCGCAUAAGCGCACGGUAUCGCAUGAUACAGUGUGAAAAACUCCGGUGGUAUAAGAUGGACCCGCGUCUGAUUAGCUGGUUGGUGAGGUAACGGCCCACCAAGGCGACGAUCAGUAGCCGGCCUGAGAGGGUGAACGGCCACAUUGGGACUGAGACACGGCCCAAACUCC
rnacentral:rRNA from 1 species